AUUGCACUAGAAAGCACUGUCAAGCUGCCAGUGUAGCUGCAGUCUUUUUAGUUCCUCUUGUGUUAAUAAUUCACCAUGUCAAACCAAGCGAAACUUUCCUCCUUUCGGCGUGAAGAGAGUCCUGAGAUCGAGAUGCUGAACCUCUUCUGCUCCUCGGACCUGCCUGGUCCAUCCUGGUGCCCUGUGUCUGGUUGGAGUCUCAUCGCAUCACUCCUGUGGAGGGCGGCCCCAUGUGGACAGUUGGGGGUCGCGCCUGGAGGACGCUCUGGACUCUUGCAGUGGUGUUUUUGUGGCUGAGGACUGCAGUUGACUUGCUGACUUUGGGACUGUGGUUGUUGUGAAUGGUUUUGCGCUCGGGUUUCCGUCGGUGGGGGGUUUAUAGCAUCAACGAAGCUGACUUUAUAUUAGGACUGUUAAUGUUAUAGUCAUGUUGUCUGUUGUUGCCCAAAUGAGGAUGGGUUCCCUUUUGAGUCUGGUUCCUCUCGAGGUUUCUUCCUCAUGUCGUCUGAGGGAGUUUUUCCUUGCCACCGUCGCCACAGGCUUGCUCAUUGGGGAUAGAUUAGGGAUAAAAUUAGCUCAUGUUUUAAGUCGUUCAAAUUCUGUAAAGCUGCUUUGCGACAAUGCUUAUUGUUAAAAGCGCUAUACAAAUAAACUUGACUUGACUUGAAGAGCCAUUUUUGGUAGAUCAGAGAACCGAGAAGUAACAGUUCGAAUCAGUUUGCUUAUUUAUUUAUUUAUUUAUUUAUUUGAAUGACCUGAAAUAAAGGGUUAUAUAAAUUAA